rnacentral:rRNA from 1 species
UACGUAGGGUGCAAGCGUUAAUCGGAAUUACUGGGCGUAAAGCGUGCGCAGGCGGUUCGUUGUGUCUGAUGUGAAAGCCCCGGGCUCAACCUGGGAAUGGCAUUGGAAACUGGCGAGCUGGAGUGUGGCAGAGGGGGGUGGAAUUCCGCGUGUAGCAGUGAAAUGCGUAGAGAUGCGGAGGAACACCGAUGGCGAAGGCAGCCCCCUGGGCCAACACUGACGCUCAGGCACGAAAGCGUGGGGAGCAAACAGG